GUAGAAGAAGUCAUUCCUACAAGAAAUGGGCUUAGCAAACAAGCUAUCCAGGUCCGUGCCUGUCACCAUAAGGUCACAGCGAGAGGCCCCACAGCCUAGUGGUUAUGAGCAGUUGACUCUGAAGCCGGGUCAGCUUUUUUGAGUACCAUCUUUAUCGUUGCUGGAUCUGCAACCUUGAGGAGUGGAGAGGAGAAACACACACAGGGAAGCCACUUUGCCUCCUGUGACUUCUGUUAACAGGGGAGUGAGCAGGGCAGCGAGCAGGACGCGAACAGCGGAACGGGGCUUGCUGUCUGCAGGCACCGCUGUCCUCCAGGUCUGUGCACACAGCUGGUCUCUGCCUGGCUGGCCGGGGUGUUUGGGAGCUCUCUGCGGAUCUGCUGUAAUUACACACCCCGGGAAGGGCCAGGAAUGGAGGCCAGAGUUCUUAUUGGUCAUCAUGCCCCAGAAUAAAGACUGAGAGAGGGACUUACAAACAGUCCUUCAGUAUUUAGCACUUAUAAAAGCAAUUAUACUGAUUUUUUUUUUAAUUUAUAUUUUCAGCCUCUGUGGUUUAAACUCUGGGUCAAACACUUCCAGACUGUUCUGGGCUGGCUGGCUCCGAUCUGGCCCCUUCCUC